rnacentral:rRNA from 1 species
GUCCACGCCGUAAACGAUGAUAACUAGCUGUCCGGGCACUUGGUGCUUGGGUGGCGCAGCUAACGCAUUAAGUUAUCCGCCUGGGGAGUACGGUCGCAAUAUUAAAACUCAAAGGAAUUGACGGGGGCCUGCACAAGCGGUGGAGCAUGUGGUUUAAUUCGAAGCAACGCGCAGAACCUUACCAGCCUUUGACAUCCCGCGCUAACCCAAGAGAUUGGGUGUUCCCUUCGGGGACGCGGUGACAGGUGCUGCAUUGCUGUCGU